rnacentral:rRNA from 1 species
GAUGAACGCUGGCGGCGUGCCUAAUACAUGCAAGUCGAGCGAACAGACGAGGCGCUUGCUCCUCUGACGUUAGCGGCGGACGGGUGAGUAACACGUGGAUAACCUACCUAUAAGACUGGGAUAACUUCGGGAAACCGGAGCUAAUACCGGAUAAUAUAUUGAACCGCAUUGUUCAAUAGUGAAAGACGGCUUUGCUGUCACUACUAGAUGCUUCCGAGCUGCAUGAGCUAGUUGGUAAGGUAACGGCUUACCAAGGCAACGGUGCGUAGCCGACCUGAUGGGGUGAUCGGCACACUGGAACUGAGACACGGUCCAGACUCCUACGGGAGGCAGCAGUAGGGAAUGUGCCGCAAUGGGCGAAAGCUUGACGGAGCAACGCCGCGUGAGUGAUGAAGGUCUUCGGAUCGUAAAACUCUGUUAUUAGGGAAGAACAAAUGUGUAAGUAACUAUGCACGUCUUGACGGUACCUAAUCAGAAAGCCACGGCUAACUACGUG